ACCAGACUCCUACGGGAGGCAGCAGUGGGGAAUAUUGCACAAUGGGGGAAACCCUGAUACAGCGACGCCGCGUGAGUGAAGAAGUAUUUCGGUAUGUAAAGCUCUAUCAGCAGGGAAGAAAAUGACGGUACCUGAUUAAGAAGCCCCGGCUAACUACGUGCCAGCAGCCGCGGUAAUACGUAGGGGGCAAGCGUUAUCCGGAUUUACUGGGUGUAAAGGGAGCGUAGACGGUGAUGCAAGUCAGAAGUGAAAGCCCGGGGCUCAACUCCGGGACUGCUUUUGAAACUGUGUGACUGGAGUGCAGGAGAGGUAAGCGGAAUUCCUGGUGUAGCGGUGAAAUGCGUAGAUAUCAGGAGGAACACCAGUGGCGAAGGCGGCUUACUGGACUGUAACUGACGUUGAGGCUCGAAAGCGUGGGGAGCAAACAGGAUUAGAUACCCGAGUAC
rnacentral:rRNA from 1 species